rnacentral:rRNA from 1 species
UCGAGGGGCAGCGGGGGUGAUGGCUUGCCAUCACCUGCCGGCGACCGGCGCACGGGUGAGUAACACGUAUGCAACCUGCCCGCCACAGGGGGAUAAGCGGAAGAAAUUCCGUCUAAUACCGCGUGACGCGGCAUCGGGGCAUCCCGGUGCCGCCAAAGGGAUUACCGGUGGCGGUUGGGCAUGCGGCGCAUUAGCUAGUCGGCGGGGUAACGGCCCACCGAGGCGACGAUGCGUAGGGGUUCUGAGAGGAAGGUCCCCCACACUGGUACUGAGACACGGACCAGACUCCUACGGGAGGCAGCAGUGAGGAAUAUUGGUCAAUGGGCGGGAGCCUGAACCAGCCAAGUCGCGUGAGGGAUGACGGUCCUACGGAUUGUAAACCUCUUUUGCCGGGGAGCAAGCGUGCGUUCGUGAACGCGCGUCGAGAGUACCCGGAGAAAAAGCAUCGGCUAACUCCGUGCCAGCAGCCGCGGUAAUACGGAGGACGCGAGCGUUAUCCGGAUUUAUUGGGUUUAAAGGGUGCGUAGGCGGGAUGCCAAGUCAGCGGUAAAAAAGCGGUGCUCAACGCCGUCGAGCCGUUGAAACUGGCGUUCUUGAGUGGGCGAGAAGUAUGCGGAAUGCGUGGUGUAGCGGUGAAAUGCAUAGAUAUCACGCAGAACUCCGAUUGCGAAGGCAGCAUACCGGCGCCCUACUGACGCUGAGGCACGAAAGCGUGGGUAUCGAACAGGAUUAGAUACCCUGGUAGUCCACGCAGUAAACGAUGAAUGCUAACUGUCCGGUGCGAAUGAGCGCUGGGCGGUACAGCGAAAGCGUUAAGCAUUCCACCUGGGGAGUACGCCGGCAACGGUGAAACUCAAAGGAAUUGACGGGGGCCCGCACAAGCGGAGGAACAUGUGGUUUAAUUCG